GUGGGGAAUUUUGGACAAUGGGCGCAAGCCUGAUCCAGCAAUGCCGCGUGCAGGAAGAAGGCCUUCGGGUUGUAAACUGCUUUUGUCAGGGAAGAAAUCUUCUGGGCUAAUACCCCGGGAGGAUGACGGUACCUGAAGAAUAAGCACCGGCUAACUACGUGCCAGCAGCCGCGGUAAUACGUAGGGUGCGAGCGUUAAUCGGAAUUACUGGGCGUAAAGCGUGCGCAGGCGGUUAUGUAAGACAGAGGUGAAAUCCCGGGGCUCAACCUGGGAAGUGCAUUUGUGACUGCAUGACUGGAGUGCGGCAGAGGGGGAUGGAAUUCCGCGUGUAGCAGUGAAAUGCGUAGAUAUGCGGAGGAACACCGAUGGCGAAGGCAAUCCCCUGGGCCUGCACUGACGCUCAUGCACGAAAGCGUGGGGAGCAAACAGGAUUAGAAACCCUGGUAGUCC
rnacentral:rRNA from 1 species